rnacentral:rRNA from 1 species
GAAAGUAAGUAAGGGCGUAUGGGGGAUGCCUAGGCUCUUGGAGGCUAAGAAGGACGUGGUAAGCUGCGAAAAGCUGCGGGGAUUUGCAAACGAGACUCGAUCCGCAGAUAUCCGAAUGGGACAACCCGGCAGGUAGAAGACCUGUCACACCGCGAGGUGAGCUAACCCUCUGAACUGAAACAUCUAAGUAGGAGGAGGAAAAGAAAGAAACAUCGAUUUCCAAAGUAGCGGCGAGCGAAAUGGAAGAAGCCCAAACCGAUAUUGUUACGGCAAUAUCGGGGUUGUAGGACUGCAAUAUUCAAUUAACAAUGAACUGGAAUGGUCUGGAAAGUCCAUCCAUAGAGAGUGAAAGGCUCGUACAGGUAAGUUUGUUAUGCGAAAGCAGUAUCCUGAGUAUGGCGGGACACGAGGAAUCCUGUCAGAAUCAGCCGGGACCACCCGGUAAGGCUAAAUACUCCCAAGAGACCGAUAGUGGACCAGUACUGUGAAGGAAAGGUGAAAAGAACCCCGAACAGGGGAGUGAAAUAGAACCUGAAACCAUACGCUUACAACCGGUCGGAGCAGCUUCGUGCUGUGACGGCGUGCCUAUUGAAUAAUGAGCCUACGAGUUACUAAUCACUAGCGAGGUUAAGUGCAAGGAUGCACGGAGCCGAAGCGAAAGCGAGUCUGAACAGGGCGUUUAGUUAGUGGUUGUAGACGCGAAACCUUGCGAUCUACCCUUGAGCAGGUUGAAGGUUGGGUAAAACCAACUGGAGGACCGAACGAAUAAGCGUUGAAAAGCUUCUCGAUGACUUGAGGGUAGGGGUGAAAGGCUAAUCAAGCUGGGAAAUAGCUCGUACUCCCCGAAAUGCCUUUUGGGGCAGCGUUGUAAUAAAGAGUCUACUGGAGGUAGAGCUACUGAUUGGAUGCGGGGGCUUCACCGCCUACCAAAUCCUGACAAACUCCGAAUGCCAGUAGUAUGAUUUACAGCAGUGAGUGACUGGGUGCUAAUGUCCAGUCGCAAAAGAGGAACAACUCAGACCAGCAACUAAGGUCCCGAAGAAUAUGCUAAGUUGAUCUAACGAUGUUUUGUUGCAGAGACAGCUAGGAUGUUAGCUUGGAAGCAGCUAUUCAUUCAAAGAGUGCGUAACAGCUCACUAGUCGAGCGACAGAGCGUGGAUAAUAAACGGGCAUCAAGCAUAUCACCGAAGUUCUGGGCGCGAGAGCGCGGUAGGGGAGCAUUCCAUUCAGCGUCGAAGCAGUUUCGUGAGGAAUUGUGGAGCGUAUGGAAAAGCAAAUGUAGGCAUGAGUAACGAUAAUGCGGGAGAGUAACCCGCACACCGCAAGACCAAGGUUUCCUGAUCAACGCUAAUCGGAUCAGGGUUAGUCGGGUCCUAAGGGUAAGCCGAACGGCGAUCUCGAUGGAUAAUCGGUUAAUAUUCCGAUACUAACAUAUACCUCGAUGGAGAGACGAAGGAACGUAAGUGCCGCCACCUGACGGAAUAGGUGGUUAAAGGGCGUAGGUAUAGGGGCAGAUUAAGAGUUAGUCCUUGCUGAAACCUGACAGUACAGAGAGCCUACGGGCAAUUUGAUAGAGCACCCAAGUCGACUUCCGAGAAAAUCUUCUAAGUUAUAGUAUAUGUUACCCGUACCGUAAACCGACACAGGUGGUCGAGGAGAGUAUCCUAAGGUGCUCGAGUGAAUCACGGUUAAGGAACUAGGCAAAUUAACCCCGUAACUUCGGGAAAAGGGGUCCCUAUGAAAGUAGGGCGCAGCGAAGAGGUCCAGGCGACUGUUUAUCAAAAACACAGGGCUCUGCAAAUUCGAAAGAAGACGUAUAGGGCCUGACACCUGCCCGGUGCUGGAAGGUUAAGAGGGGAUGUCAUCGCAAGAGAAGCAUUGAAUCGAAGCCCCAGUAAACGGCGGCCGUAACUAUAACGGUCCUAAGGUAGCGAAAUUCCUUGUCGGGU